UCGGCGGUGGUGGAGGGAGCAACAUGCUGAGAUUCUACACGGAUGAAGCUCCGGGGCUGAAGAUGUCGCCGACGGUGGUGCUGGUGAUGAGUCUCUGCUUCAUCGGAUUUGUUACUGCUCUUCACGUCUUUGGCAAGCUGUAUCGGUACAGCGCGGCGUCCGGCGGCGCCUGAUCCGGACGAUCGUCGAUGCAUGCGGUGAUGUGUUUCUGAAUCAAUUUGCUUAAUUUUGACUUUUACUGAAUCGUUAAUUUUUGUGCUUUAAGUUUUAAGUUAUCAACGAAGAGAACUAGAGAUAUGUAUUUUU
rnacentral:misc_RNA from 1 species